UACGUAGGGGGCAAGCGUUGUCCGGAAUGAUUGGGCGUAAAGGGCGCGUAGGCGGCCGCAGAAGUCUGAAGUGAAAUACCCGCUUUCAAGGUGGGCACUGCUUUGGAAACUGAGCGGCUUGAGUGCAGGAGAGGUCAGUGGAAUUCCCAGUGUAGCGGUGAAAUGCGUAGAGAUUGGGAGGAACACCAGUGGCGAAGGCGACUGACUGGACUGUAACUGACGCUGAGGCGCGAAAGUGUGGGGAG
rnacentral:rRNA from 1 species